UACGAGAGGAAAAGGAAGGGGAAGGAAAUAGGGAAUGCAGUAAUUUACAAAGGUCUGCGAAUAGUGAAUUUUACACUGGUUAACGAGCAAUUUAAACCGCUUGGAAAUUAAUCUAUCCGGCAUGUAUUUGAAAA